rnacentral:lncRNA from 1 species
ACCAAAUUGAUAUCAUUGUGUGAAAAAUCUACACGAAAAUCCGUAUUUUGGUGACAUAAAUCAAUCUUUUUUUAAAACCUGGUCUGUUAAUGGGUCGGAUGUAUAAAACCCGGUCUGUUAAUUGGUCUGUUAAGAGUUAUGAAUGACAAUAAAAGUAUAAUUUUAUUACUAUAUAGUGUGUUAACUUGGUAGGCUCAAGACGAGCGGCUAAAAUAUACGGAAACAACACUUGAGCAAUGGAACAUAAAAUAUAUACGGAAACAAAACAUGAGCAAUGGAAUAUAAAAUAUACGGAAACAAAACACAUGAACAAUUAACAAUUUAAUAGGCAAUGGAUAUUGAAAAUUGAUAAAAGUGGUUUCAAAAAGUGUUAAAUUAGAGUAAAAUUAAUUUUAUCCGAGAAUGGUCGCAUAUAUUCUGUGGAUUCUGUUUUAUUGUCAUGAAUGACACCAAUUUGUCAUCUACAUUGGUGACCAGUAUAUAAAUCAGAGAUUAACGUCGUAAUGUAACUAAACAUCAGUAAGUAAAAUAUAUUGGGAUGCCUAAAUAUAAAGAAUAGAGAAA